UCAAAUCACAUGUCAGGGAAGUGUUGAGC
rnacentral:piRNA from 1 species